rnacentral:rRNA from 1 species
UCGAGCGGACAGAUGGGAGCUUGCUCCCUGAUGUUAGCGGCGGACGGGUGAGUAACACGUGGGUAACCUGCCUGUAAGACUGGGAUAACUCCGGGAAACCGGGGCUAAUACCGGAUGGAUGUUUGAACCGCAUGGUUCAAACAUAAAAGGUGGCUUCGGCUACCACUUACAGAUGGACCCGCGGCGCAUUAGCUAGUUGGUGAGGUAAUGGCUCACCAAGGCAACGAUGCGUAGCCGACCUGAGAGGGUGAUCGGCCACACUGGGACUGAGACACGGCCCAGACUCCUACGGGAGGCAGCAGUAGGGAAUCUUCCGCAAUGGACGAAAGUCUGACGGAGCAACGCCGCGUGAGUGAUGAAGGUUUUCGGAUCGUAAAGCUCUGUUGUUAGGGAAGAACAAGUACCGUUCGAAUAGGGCGGUACCUUGACGGUACCUAACCAGAAAGCCACGGCUAACUACGUGCCAGCAGCCGCGGUAAUACGUAGGUGGCAAGCGUUGUCCGGAAUUAUUGGGCGUAAAGGGCUCGCAGGCGGUUUCUUAAGUCUGAUGUGAAAGCCCCCGGCUCAACCGGGGAGGGUCAUUGGAAACUGGGGAACUUGAGUGCAGAAGAGGAGAGUGGAAUUCCACGUGUAGCGGUGAAAUGCGUAGAGAUGUGGAGGAACACCAGUGGCGAAGGCGACUCUCUGGUCUGUAACUGACGCUGAGGAGCGAAAGCGUGCGGAGCGAACAGGAUUAGAUACCCUGGUAGUCCACG